rnacentral:rRNA from 1 species
UUGAUCCUGGCUCAGAACGAACGCUGGCGGCGCGUUUUAAGCAUGCAAGUCGAGCGGUAACUACCCUUCGGGGUAGCUAGAGCGGCGAACGGGUGAGUAACACGUAGAUUAUCUGCCUUGAGGUUGGGGAUAGCCUGUGGAAACACAGGGUAAUACCGAGUAAGCCCUAUGGGGGAAAGGUGCUAAGGCACCGCCUUAAGAUGAGUCUGCGGCUCAUUAGUUAGUUGGUGGGGUAACGGCCUACCAAGGCGACGAUGAGUAGCCGGCCUGAGAGGGUGGACGGCCACACUGGGACUGAGACACGGCCCAGACUCCUACGGGAGGCAGCAGCUAAGAAUCUUCCGCAAUGGGCGCAAGCCUGACGGAGCGACGCCGCGUGAACGAAGAAGGCCGUGAGGUUGUAAAGUUCUUUUCUUACUGAAGAAUAAUUACCCGAGGGAAUGCGGGUAAGAUGACGUUAGGUAAGGAAUAAGCCCCGGCUAGUUACGUGCCAGCAGCCGCGGUAACACGUAAGGGGCAAGCGUUGUUCGGAAUUAUUGGGCGUAAAGGGCGUGUAGGCGGUUUUACAAGUCUGGUGUGAAAUACCGCAGCUUAACUGCGGGGACGCGCUGGAAACUGUAAGACUAGAGUACAGGAGGGGGACCUGGAAUUCCUGGUGUAGGGGUGAAAUCUGUAGAUAUCAGGAAGAACACCGGUGGCGAAGGCGAGGUCCUGGCCAUGUACUGACGCUGAGGCGCGAAAGCGUGGGGAGCGAACAGGAUUAGAUACCCUGGUAGUCCACGCCGUAAACGAUGUGCACUAGGUGC